AAUCCCUGGAGCUCAGGAUCCUGGCAACUGGGCCGGCAGAAUAACAACUGGAGAGGAGCUGAGAAGGGGAACUAGGGACCGGCAGGGCCCCCUUCUCCCGAUGCUGCCACAGCAGGGAAAUAGGGCAGCUGUGGCCCGGAAAACCCACUCUCAACUCCUCCACUCCCCCACGCUAGUUCAGUAAUGGAACACCACUCCUCUCCCUCUCCCCUUUCUCCGCUCCCCUCCUGGCCAGAGGCUUUCACAACUGGGCGGUCCAGGCACGAGACCCCUUCAGGAAGGGGGGUGGGGUGGGAGAGAGGGCUCAGACCCUCCCCCAUCCUCAUCUGCUUUCCUGACCCUCUCGAGCCAAACGCCCUUCUGGGCCACCUACCGCCCCAGUGCACAUCCUUCUACUGCCCCCGCAGCCCUAUCCUGGGGAUGAGAUGAGACAAACGAGGCCCAGGAAGAAGUGUCUAGUCCCAGGGCACACAGAUACAGUUAGGCACAAGAGCCCUGGGAGUGCUCCUUCUACAUCACCAGACCUGCUUCCAGCCUAGCCCUCACAUUCAUCAUCUGGGGAAACAACCACUGUGCAGGGUGAAGGUGAGGGAGCAGAGGAAACAGCCUAAAAAUGUAGAGCUCAGCACCACCUGAGCUAGCUCCAGCUCUGGAAGGCUCUAAUUAAUUGCUUGGAAAGUCUUUCCUUACAUGGAGCUGAAAUCUGGCUCUUUGUAACUUCUACUCAUAGCUCCUAUUUCUGCUCCCCAGGGUUCAAUCCCUUUUCAAUGUAACUACUCUUCAAAUGCUUGAAGACAGCUAUCAUGGCUCCCCUAAAUCUACUAGUCUCAAGUAUUUCCAGUCCCUUCAGAGAUUCCUUAUGUGACAUGUUCUUCAAGCCCUUGACUACCCUCACCAGUUUCCUCUGGAUAUACUCCAACUUGUCAGUGUCCCUUUACUGAAUUUGACAUCUGUUUCAUAUUUUGAAAUGACCUCCCCUACCCCUUUUCCCCUUCCCCCUCUUGUUAAAAUCCUUACCUCUUUGGACUGAGUCAUUCAAUUGGUUCUGAAUCUCUCUACUACACUGUCAUCCAGCUCACAUCUCUGUAUAUUAUCCACAAGAAUAUUAUGCUUUGUGUGUAUAUGUAUGUGCGUAUAUACAUAUGUAUAUAUGUGUAUGCAUAUGUAUAUAUCUCCUUAAUCUACUGGUUUAACAUGUCAAUACAAGAAGGAUCUGUAUUAUUGGCAAUAUGGCAGGACCUCAGUGUGGGAGUUCAUACUAUUAAUGCAGAUUGUAACUCAUCCUUAUAGGUAUAUGUUUGGGAAUUGCUUGAAGAUCACAGAGGCUAAAAGAUUUGCAAAGAUUUCAGAGCUAGUAUGAAAGGCAAGAUUAGAACCCAUGCUUUCUUGACACUGUGCCCAAUACUCUAUUGCCUAUCCCAAUCUAAUAAUCUUAUUUUAAAAAGGAAAUAAGUUAGUCUGGGUAUAAACUGUUAUUGAUUAAAUCAUAAUAGCAAUCAUGAUAACUGCUUCCUUUUCUAAACACUUACAAACUGCCCUUUUAAUUCAUUUUCAGUUUUUUUCAGAACUACUUGCUCUUAUUUUGCUUCUGCUUUCCAUAUCUUCAUACUAGAAAGAAUAGAACACAAAUGUUUAACAGAAUUGAACCCCAAGAUGAAUGAUGAGUUGUUUAUUGAAUAUCAAGCUAAACCCAGUGAGUCAAGUCACCAGGCUUGGCUGAAUCCUAGGGUAUGAAGAGAACUAGCAGAUAUAAAUGCUGAAACAAUGUUGGUGAUCUUAGAAAAAUAGCAUAUGAAGACAGGGCUUUCAAGACAGCUCCAGGCCCUGAACUCUAGAACUUACAGUUGAGCAAGGGUGCUGGAUAUAUACAGAAAUAAUUGUGAUACAAAAGGAUACCUGUUAGGUACAUAAGAUAUGUAAAAGUUGUCAUGUGAGAUUGGGGAGAUCAUUACCAAUUUGGAAGAAUCAAGGAAGUUUUCCUAAAGCAGAUUGCAUCUGAGCUGGGCUUUAAAGGAUUAGCAAAAUUUUUUUUGACAGGCGGGAGAGUGAUGCAAGGAGUUGGUGAGUGCAUUUCAAGCAUAUAGAAUGAUGCAAGCAGAGAGAGGCAGGGAAGCCCGGAGCAUGUAUUAUGGAUGGUUAAAAUCCAGUUCAGCUGAAUGGUGAGAUGCAUGCAAGGGAGGGUAGGACUAUGAAAUAAGGCCGAAAAAGUAAAGUAGGGAGCCACAUUGUGGAUAGCUUUAAAUACCAGACAUUGGAGAAUGAACUUUAUUCCAUUGGCAAAAUGGAGUCAUGAAAGAGUUUUGAGUGGGAAAAUGACUGCCAUGAUGAGAUCUAACAUAAGAAAUAUUAUUCUGGCAGCUGUAUGAAGGGCAGGUUGUUUGGAGAAAGAAAGUGGAGGGAGAAGGAAAUAGUAAUGAAUAAUUGUAGUUGGGCAAUAGCUCUGGGAACAGAAAUGAAGGGAUGGAUGUAAGAAAUGUUUCCAAAGGGAUGCUAUAAGCCUAGAUUGAUUUUAUUAGAGCAGGUGUUCUUAAUUUUUAUGGGUCAUGGACCCCUUUGACAGAAUGGUGAAACUUAUGGAUCCCUCCCCUUUUAGGUGCAUAAA